CUUGGCAAGGGCACACUCAGCUAUGACAAGCUGUUAGGACAACACUCGGUAUUAACUAAAUGGCAGGAAGCAGCCAGGAGGGAAAAUUCAAGAGAGACAGUGAAAGGAGAAUAGAAGAGACUCCAUCCUCCACCAAAGGAGCAACAAGAUGCUAGCAGACAGUUUAGGAAACAAGCUGGAAAGGAGGUGAAAAGAAUGUAAGAGACAGAGGACCACGACAUCAUCUGUGAAAUACAGUCUUCUGUAUAUGACAAGGAAGCUGCACCAAUUAAACUUCAAAAAAUAUGCCUACCUAAACUAAAUUUGCACAGUGACAAAAUGUGGUGGCUUCUAAUACGAAAGGGGGAAGCUCAAAAGGCACCAUCCCGAGAUGAAAAGCUACAAGCAAUUAAUGGCUGCUCAGAGAGAAAAAAUUUAUCUUCUCAAGGGGUGAGUUCUUCGAUAGGUUACAGAGUCUCACAUGGUUAGCCUCAAAUACAGAUAUAUGGGAGCAAUAAAAAAUGAACUCAGCAAGAAUAUGUAAUGUGCAUACAUGUGUGUGCAUAACUAUUAUAAUUAAAGAAAGGUAAAAAAAUAUGAACAUGAGUCUGGGGAAGGAUACAGGCGAAUUUGGAGGGGGAGCGGCAGAGAUAGAUAUGUUGUAUGAAAUUCUCAGAAAAUAUUGGCCUAUAUUCUUGCAGAGGAUUGAAGUUCAUUUCAGAAGUUCAUUUCCCAGCAUACAUAUCAGGGAGCCCACAACUGUAAUAAGCCUGUAACUCUAGCUCCAGGGUAUGUGAUGCCUUCUUCUGGCCUCUAUGAACAACCAUAUGCACAUGUGCACACUGACAAGUAUGCAUUCACAUGUGUUAACACACACAUAUA